UCCCGCCGCCGCCUCCCUUCCCAGCCUCGCUCAGCUGGGGGGGUGGGGGGUGUGGGGGGGCAAGGACCGGCCUGUGGGCGUGGCUCAGCCAGCGUGAGGGAGCCACGACGCCCCACGACAAGGCCUGCCCGUCCGGGCCACCAAAACCCAGGGGCCUGUUCCCUCUGCCCCGCAGACUGCCCACCUCACCACACCGAGGGCAGCUUAAAUGGGCCUCAAAAUGGGCAGCCCGUCGCCCCCAGCCCCACGGAGGCCACAGCCCUGAGGAGUAGGCCUCAGCCCUCCAAAUGGCCACAGGGCCCUGCAGGCCGUGGGACUGAGGGAACCCGGGAUGGCUCUUGCCAGAGGUGGGGCUGCUCCAGGAAAGACCCCCGGGCUACAGAGACCCCUGCAGGGUGGCAGCGCGGCAGCUCCCCCCCCCCCCCCGCCCCCCGGGAGCACAGAAGCAGAGGAAGGGAGCUGGGAGGGACUUCUGCAGCGGAGAAGGGGCUCCCUUCGGAAAGGGGAAGGGACUGGGAUGGCAAACCCCUGCCAGCCUGGGAGAAAAGUCUGAACACAGGUAAGAGGCCCCCCCGGUGGGCUUGCUGCUCUGCUCCCGGAGCCCUGCCGCCUCCUCCCCCUGUCGCCUCCUCCCCCUUCUCCCCUCCUCCACCCUGUUCCUCAGGGCUGCCCCAGGACGACUCCUCCGGUUCUGGAACGUGCUCCCGCGGGACCUCCCCUGCCUGGCCGGCUUCCGGGAGGCUUCCAGGUGUGCGGCGCCCCUGGGGGUGGGGGACACGGCGGCCGAGGCUCCCCUGCACCAUUCCUCAGACGCCACCCGGCUACUGCGGGAAGAGGGUGCCUGCCAAGGGGACUGCUCACACCCACACCCGCUUCUAGGGGCCCCGGGAGGUGCCUGUGAGGGAGGGGCGGCAGGGGGCGGGGGCAGAGGCCCAGGAGACAACACCCGCUGGAUGGAAGGGGCUGGAAGGGCGUGUGCACCAGGAGGGGAGGGGAGGGGAGGCGCCCGUCCCCCUGCACCCAGUGCUCACGUCGCCUGGAAGGUCCCAUGCACACUCCCCCAGGGCCUGUCAGGGACGCUGCCAUGACCCUACCGGCUUCCACUAGCCCACAAGCCCUUCCUCGACUCCACACACAGGGACUCAGCCCAGUGCCCGAGGGCUGCAUAAGGGGGCAGCCUCAGGAGAAGUUUCUGCAAGGUUCCAGGAGGAGAUCAGGGUUUAACCCCCGGGAAAACCCCCAAUCCACCUCCCUCGUGCCCCACCUCCUGCUCUCCCUGGGGCCGCUCUAGCGUCCCCACCAACUCAGCAGCGGCCAGGCCUUCAAGGCCGGCGGGCUGGGGGUGAGCCAGGCACGUGGAGGCCCACGCCCGGUGACAGCUAGUGCACGGAGUUCGGCACGCAGCCUCGUGAAGGGAGGCCCAAGGGGAGGCUGCCCAGAGCGCCGGCCUCCAUGCCAGCUGUCAUCUAGCGGGGACUCUGAAGAAAAAGAGGGGCCACCGUGAACGGUUAGCACAGGACAGCGCGGAAACCGGGACGCGGGGCCCCCUGGGUCUGCUCGCCCUGAGCACGCAGCUGAGGACAGCUCCUUCCGAACCGCGGCCCCUCGAGCCAGCUGUCCCACCUGCAGAUGGUUUCUGGGUUUUUAGGCUGUGGUACCUCUUUCACAGCAGUGUUCUCCACGAGCGCCGGGCCUGUGCGGUGCAGGGCGCUGGCCCCAUUAUCGGGGUCUGGUGGCCUCCCACGGGGGGAGGGAGUGGGGGGUUAUUUUUAAGAUUUCCAUUUAUUCCAUCAAGCCCCGUGAACAGCCAGGGGCGGCGUAGGCCUCAGGGGGAGCGGGACUGAGGUGGAGAGCACUGCCCCGGGAGGCGCCAUCACCCCCAGGGACCACGCGUCCUGGGGAGCAGGCGGGACAGCCUCCUGAGCUACACCACCAAGGGGCCCCUGGGCUGUCCAGCUGCCCCAGGGCAGAUCCCUCGUCAGUGGGGACGCGGGACUGCCUCUUCCUCCCCGGAAUGACAGCCAGCUCUCCCUUCCCAGGAUGCUGCCCCUGGCGGAGAGAGACCACAACUUCCCGGGGGGCAGACCCUGGAAAUCUGGGCAACUGUCACUGCCGGCAACUACUACUCCCUGGAGACCAGAAGGAACCCGAUCGGCCGUGAUAUUCAGGGAAGGGACAGCAAAAAUCGGAAGCCCGCGUUGCGUUCAGUGACGGGGAACCCGCCGGCCGCAGCCAGCGGCGCCCUGGGGCUCGCUGAGCUGGCCCGCGCCCCUUCUCCAGGCCGAUGGACGUGGCGCCACGGGCCAGCGGACAAAGCCUCGACCAGCCUCAAUCUGCUGGGCCACGGCUGGACCCUUAAAGUUUCAUUUCGACAAGAGAGCUCAGAGCGAGACUCAGGGCUGAGGCCACCACACCAUCGUGCCCACAGGCCCGGGGGGGGAAGGACGCCCUGAGCCCCAGGGGUUCCCGUUUUCUGGCAAAAGGGCUCACUGCUGUCAUCAGACCCCAGCUGCUCGUGCCUGCCCCAGCACAUGACAUGCCCACGGCACCCCCAUGCCCAGCGUCCCGUGUGCCCAGAGGCCCAGGAAGGAGCGUGGGGCCACUUAUGUCCACACCAGUAGGCCAGAUGCUCUGACAAAGGUUUAGGGCCCACAGAUCAACCUGUCCCGGAGACCCAAGGGGACGGGUCUCGGCAAACCUGAGCCACGGCCUUGUGUGGCCAGCACUCAGGGACCCACGCCCUCCAGGUCCGGGGGGAGCUCUGCCCGCGGGCCUGCAGGUCGGACUGGGCUACGGCACCGGCUCCACUGGGUCACCCUACUCGGCUGCAAAGCCCUCUGGGUCCUGGCUUCCCCACGUGGGAAGCGAAGGGGCCGCACCCCGUCACUGCUGUUGGCGCUUCCAACAGGGGAGCCCUUGCCUCCCGCAGCCACCGCUCUACAGCUCAAAGUCCACACCCGAGUUCACGGACUCAACAGGAAAAGGACGUGACGUACCUCACCAACGUUUCCCGCAGCGAUGACACGUCGAAGUGACGUGCUACGUGCGUUCAAACAGAGCGUGUCGUUUGAAGAUUAUUAAGAAUUUAUUACAAUGCGCGUCAUUAAGACCAAAGCUCCCUGCUGUUCACGUUCUGAACACAGACAUUCCGGGGUGUGAAAUGGCAGGGGCACGUGCCCAACACUAUUCUCCAAGGUGCCCUCCAGCUCUGACGGCUGCAGGUGCUCCAAAUCACUCCCGGUGCCAUCGAGGCCAUAGCCCCUGCGCGGCUCCAUCGGGAGAACUGGGAGUGAGUGGGCAGCCACGGGAGAGGUGUGGGGCCUGAAGUGGCCCAACAAGUUCAAAGGAACAGACUGUCCUUCCCCAGCUGGCCUGUCCCGGGGACCCUGAGCCCCUGCACCUCUGGACACGUAAACCCUGACAGGGGAACACGGUCUCUGUUUCCCACACUGGUUUUUCCCUCGGCGAGGGCCCCCGAUUUACCUCCAAGGAAGGAAAACGCCUGCACCGCGGCGGCCAGUGGUUUCGUCCACAGGCUGCCUUUGGUGUUGAAGAGCUUUUUAAAAGUGAGCGCAAGAGACCCAUAAAGGUCCUGAACCACCAGCAGGGCGUCAAACGCCACAUCUUAACGGACCAGUCUCUGCCAUUAUCUUUUUUGAAAAUCUAAAUUAUGGUUAUUUUGUUUUCGCUUUGUUAAUUACACAUCCCUUUAAAUAGAACAAAUCUCCCCCUUU